rnacentral:rRNA from 1 species
GAUGAACGCUGGCGGCGUGCCUAAUACAUGCAAGUCGAGCGAAUGGAUUAGGAGCUUGCUCUUAUGAAGUUAGCGGCGGACGGGUGAGUAACACGUGGGUAACCUGCCCAUAAGACUGGGAUAACUCCGGGAAACCGGGGCUAAUACCGGAUAACAUUUUGAACCGCAUGGUUCGAAAUUGAAAGGCGGCUUCGGCUGUCACUUAUGGAUGGACCCGCGUCGCAUUAGCUAGUUGGUGAGGUAACGGCUCACCAAGGCAACGAUGCGUAGCCGACCUGAGAGGGUGAUCGGCCACACUGGGACUGAGACACGGCCCAGACUCCUACGGGAGGUAGCAGUAGGGAAUCUUCCGCAAUGGACGAAAGUCUGACGGAGCAACGCCGCGUGAGUGAUGAAGGCUUUCGGGUCGUAAAACUCUGUUGUUAGGGAAGAACAAGUGCUAGUUGAAUAAGCUGGCACCUUGACGGUGCCUAACCAGAAAGCCACGGCUAACUACGUGCCAGCCGCCGCCGUAA